rnacentral:tRNA from 1 species
CCCUGUGGCUCAGUUGGUAGAGCAUGGUGUUUGCAAUGCCAGCAUGGUGUGUGCAACGCCAGGAUUGUGGGUUCGAUUCCCACAGGGG